UGCUGUUUAGCUAAUAGGUCUCAUUUCAGGGGCUUUUCUGCUCUGACAUGUCUCUCAUUCUCUGCAUAUGUUUUUCUGUCCUCGUUGUAGUGUUGUCAGAAGCCUCUGUACUGUAAAAAAAAAUCUACUAUACCUAUAAGAAGCUUGAAGCAUGGCGUGAAGGUCUUUUUACAGAAAUAUUAAUACUUUAAAUAUUAAAAUACUGAAAUACUAAUACUGUUAAUACUGUCUUUACAGCAACAGAAUAAUGUUUAGGCUCAUUUGGGGCCACAUUAUUAUUAUCUGGCCAUUUUCCUCUAGGUCUGCAGUUUGAUAAUAAGAAUAAUUAUUAACUGGAAGGGCAGCUGUUUUGGUUUGUGGUUUUUGGCAGCAGGAGCUAUCACAGGCCAGGACACAUGUUGCUCAGCUUACAGAUAUGGGAGCUAGAAAUCAAUACAGUGAGUGUCAGUUGCAACACUGAGCUCAUCUUACUUCCAGAAAAGUAAAUUAUCUUUAUUUUGUGAAAAAGAAAUACAGAAGUUUAAAGAUUCACCUUUGCUUACCAGAGAAGUAGAUUUCUACAGUGUAUUGCACUUUCUUGUUUUCCCUUAUCUACCUUUUGAAUAACCAGCCAUGAGAAAAAUCAGAUGUAACAUAGAGUAAUUAACUGCAUGAAAAACAAAGUUAGGAAAGCCUUCGGAAAUGUUGAACAAUAAUGCAAAAAGCUGUUCAUUGCACACUUGUGGGGCUUGUCCCAGAAAACUGACAAAUGAAACCCACCUUUUAAGGACAAAGCCUCAGCCCCUGGCUGAGGGCAACAGUUUUUCUUCUUUCCUCUUCACAGUGGACUUUUCCUACAGUGCCAAGCUGACAGGUUUUUCUCUGAAGAAGUAGGUCUGUAAGAGGUCUGAUAUUUUUGCACAUGGAUGUUUGUAAUUUUGGAAUAAGGAGGGUAUGAACAACAGAAGAAAAAAAUAGGAGACAGUGUGAUUUCUAUCUUUUGAAGUCCCACGUGCCACCUAAAAAUAGCCCUGUGCUGAAAGUAGCUGCUUUUCAAAUACACUUAUAUUACAAACAAAAUUCAUGUGAAAUCCAGGAUAAAACAUGGAGGCAGUGUUGGAUAAAAUAGGUGUUUUCCAUUGAAGUAGAGCUCCUAAAAGUUGCCAAGAUAAAUUUAGGCCAACUGAUAAGGGCAGAAGCAAAUCCCUGACCAGCGUUCCCAGCACCUGUACCUCCCUGGGCCUGCUGGUAACCACCAAAUGGCCAUUAAAUCCCCCAAAGCUCUCUGCUAGCUUCAUCCAGGAUCAAGCCAUACUCUGCUCCGCACCUCCCAUCCAGGGGAGAUGAGCAGGGCACGGACCCGGGCAGCCUGUCCUGCUGCACCCAGAGCAUCGCACGAGCUCCCGGGCUCCACCACCGCGGUGGGGACCUACUGCCAUCCGAGGGGGCCUGUGCUCAUUCCUUUGGGGGGCCAAAUCUAGGAGGCGAGCGCGCAUCGGAUGCCCGUCCCAGCGGCGUGCGGAGCCGGCGGGGGUAAGCGUGCCCGGCGGGGCACGGAGCGGGCGGAGGGGCUGCGCGGCCGGGCCGGGCGGGGCGCACAGCGGCGGGGGCGGCCCCGCGGGGGGAGCGGGGCCCGCGGCCUCCCCGCCGACACCGGGGCCGGGAUGCGCCGACACCGGGGCCGGGGGGGGGGCGGCCUCGGCCGGCGCCUCCGUGCUGCCGGAGCCCCGGCGGCUCUCCGCGGAGCCGGGCCGGCCGCCCCUCCGCUCCCCGUCCCCGCCGCUCCGAGCAAGCCCGGAGCGGGGGGGACCCUGAUCGGUGCCGGAGCUCGCCCAGCGUCCAUGUUCGGGGCUGUUCCUGGCGAAAUUCCCCGCGAACGCCUCCGAAAUCGAUGCGGAGAAUUUUCCGCUACUAAGGGGCACGCUUUUAUUUCAGUUCGGAUAAGCAGCGGCAGGGCGGAUAUCGCGGGUCGGGGGCAGUCGCUGGCUGCUCCCCCCGCAGCUCCGUGCACUGCAGAGAGCGGCGGCACGGCUGCUGGGCGCGGAAAUAAAUGGAGGGGCCACGCAGAUAUUUUAUUAUUUAGCGACAGCUAAGGAAAAGCUUUCAGGAUGCUAGGGAACUGGCUGGCUCUCCGUCUCUCUAAAAUUCCCAUUUGCCUUGGGCUACGACCUGUUAUCUGACCUUUAGACACCCCCGAAGACGAGCGAGUUUUGCUUUGCAAACAGCAAUAAUGCGGCGCGGGGGCAGCGCUCCGGGGGCGCAGCCUGGCCCUUGCCCCUCGGCCCUCACGUGGGUGCCGGAGCUGCUUUCGGGUGGGGGGGUUAGGGGGGGGUCGGGUGCUGCCGGGGUGCCACGCUUUCAUUUUGGUUUCAUUCGAAGACAUUUGAUGGUUGUAGAUCUUUCUCUGGUUUGUUGCAUCACCACCACAGCUCACCCCUUAAAACAGUAAUUCAAGAUGUAAGUAAAAGUGUUUUCAUUUUUAUUGAUCCUGCUAACAUCUUUCAUUACCCAACAUGUAACCACAACAAAUGAUUGCUCAUUUGAUACGGAGAAUUUUAUCGACGCUCUCCCCGGGCGGGGCGCGAAGCCCAAACGCCGGCGGCGCAGGGAGCGCGGAGCAGGGGCAGCGCACGGCCGGCCCCGGCCCCGGCCCGGCUCCCAUCGCCGAGGCCCUUUCCCGGCCGAAAUUCGAGGAGCGAACCCGGGGAGGGCCGGGGGCAGGCACCCCCCCAGCGCGGGGCCCGGCGCGGCCCGACGGGGCGCACACGGCGGGCCCGGGGCCGCGGGAGCGGAGCCUGCCCCGGGGCCGGGGGGGGCGCGGCCGCCGUGGUGGGACCCCGGCCUCCCCCUCGGGCCGCCCCCUCGGGCUCUCGCUGCCCCCGGCCCGGAGCUUUCGUUCCCUCGCUGCGAAACCCAACAAGUAGCGGGAGGCGAAGCUGCCGGGCACCGCCUCGGCCGCCGCAAGCCUGGCGCCCGCUGGCUUCGAGCGCGUUGAGAAACCAGGCUGCCUCCCUCCCUCUCUCUCCCCCUUCUCUCCCUGGUUUCCUUUUAUGCGCUAAAUAAGUCCUGAAUAAUAACAACAAAAACAUUUUGCUUUAAAAAAUAAUGAAUACAUUAAAAAGAAAAAAAAAAAAGAAAAAAAAAAGAAAAAGAAAGAAAGAAAA